CCUGCGCGCCCGCUGGUGACUCACGGCGCCGCGCCGGGCCCCGGUUGGCUCGCCGGCACCGCCCGCCCCCGCUACCUCCUCCGCGGCACCUGCUGCCGCCGCGGCGCGCCCGCACACCGCUCGGCGCGGCUCGGCGGGGCACGGGCGGCGCGAGUGAAGCUAUUUGUGAUUCACAUCUGGUUGUAUCAUGACUGCACUAAAGACAAACCAUACUACUGCAUGAAUAACUUUGGAGUGGAUUAUCUCUUGCAGUUCAUGUAAUGAAUGACUGCACACGCCAUCUAAAUGGGCAAACUGUUGGUGUCUCAGAGACUUGUUUAAAAAGUCAAGAUUAGAUUUUGUGUAACUGAAAUGCAUCUGGGGAUUAUAUUUCUCAUAUGUGUGUAAAUAUGAAGAGAGCAGCUCCUAGUGUUUGCCUUCCUACAGCUCUUCCACUUCAUGGCCUCAGGGGCAAAGACUGCUUUCCCAGCCUGCCUGGUAUGUGGCAUUAGACGCUACAGCCUCCUUCUUGCAAACAUAUGCUGCUUCAAGCAAGAAAAAUCUUUUGUGUACACGGGGGUUGACUGGGGUCCUCAAGGAGGUGGCUUAGCGUAAGUAGUGUGUUGAAAAUGUAAUUCCCCUUUCAGAUCUACAACACAGCAUAGUGCCUUCAGUGCUCGCUGCUGCAUGGUCUGCUGUGCUUUGAGCUGAACAGCAUUUCAUAAAGGUCCUGCUGUCAUUACAGAAAUAUUUCAUAAGCCAUAUCCUGAUAUGCAAUACACGAGAAGACUCUAGUCAUGGAGAAUUACAAAGCUGGACAUACCUUGGUGUAUCCUGGUACACCUAGCUGAUGGCCUUCCUUGUUUGUCUGUAGAAGAUACAGGUUUACUGGAGGGAGAAAAAUUAUUCUUUGUGCCCUGUAUUAUGGCUGCUCCAUGAUCAUCUGCACCUGGCUUUGUGAUGGGGGUCCAAAUUUCUAUCUGGGAUGUACCUAGCUCUUUGGACACCUCAGGGUUUGGACUCCAAAGCAGAACUUGGUAUAAAGUAAUUUCUAUGAUUUCAGCUAUAUUAAAGUGCUUGAGUAAGUUCAUGUAUGAAUUUUACAA